GCUGAAGAUGUGAUGAGUUGAUCAUGUCUCUUCUCUGACUGUCACUGGAGAAAGAUUCAACACCUCUGAUUUAAGC
rnacentral:snoRNA from 1 species